UUCCGGUUGAUCCUGCCAGACCUGACUGCUAUCGGAUUGAUACUAAGCCAUGCGAGUCUUUGUAGUAAUACAAGGCAGACGGCUCAGUAACACGUAGUCAACCUACCCUAUGGACGAGAAUAAUCUCGGGAAACUGAGCAUAAUUCUUGAUAGAUCAUAAUGCCUGGAGUGGUUUAUGGUUAAAAUGAUUCGUCGCCAUAGGAUGGGACUGCGGCCUAUCAGCUUGUUGGUGAGGUAAUGGCCCACCAAGGCGAUUACAGGUACGGGCUCUGAGAGGAGAAGCCCGGAGAUGGGUACUGAGACACGGACCCAGGCCCUAUGGGGCGCAGCAGGCGAGAAAACUUUGCGAUGUGCGAAAGCACGACAAGGUUAAUCCGAGUGAUUUCUGCUAAAGAAAUCUUUUGCCAGUCGUAAAACCGCUGGUGAAUAAGGGGUGGGCAAGUUCUGGUGCCAGCAGCCGCGGUAA
rnacentral:rRNA from 1 species